rnacentral:lncRNA from 1 species
AGUUCAGGGGUGAGGACAGGGAGCUGCUAUCAAAUGAGGGGUGCCUGGAGCACCCUCAAAGAGUUCCUGGAGCUUGGACCUCUCAGACCAGCCAGGCUGGAGAAGGACCCAAGGCCAGCUGCUUUCUCUCUGGAGCGCAGUCUUUGACUUGUACAGCCUGGAGGUUGUGUGACUCGUGGUUGGGCCUGUUUGGGAUAUACAGAUGACUCUUCAUAGAGAAGGCUUUGCCUCCUGGGAGCCCCAACUCUGCCACUGGAGUGCCUCCCUGCCCCCAUACUGGAUUGAACUCCACUGAAAACACUCACCAAGCUCAGCCUGUUUGGUGGCCCUCUUCCUGCCUGCCUUCCCUUAAUGUCCCUAUUGGUCUCUUUUCAAGACCUCUGUGGAGAGUGUCACCUACAGACAAACUGUCCUCCCUCAACCAGGCCGGUAGGGAGAGAAAACUGAGAUGUGGAAAGCUCUGGAGGAGACCUGGAGACCAAGCAAAAUCUUCCCAUGACUUGGGCGCACUGGGAAUAAAACUAACAUUUGAAAACCAUUUUACUUAAGUU